UCCUCUCAUUACUGAGUGAUAAUCGUGGU
rnacentral:piRNA from 1 species